ensembl:lncRNA
GCCCAGCAUUCAGGCAAGCCCCAUUGCUCCAAGGCUAGCAGAAACGCAGAGGAAAACCAGCCUGCUCGCUUCUGGUGUUCCCCCUGCUUUGCCAGAACCAUCCUGCCAUCCCCAGAAGUGAAUCCAGCCUCCAUCUCAUGGGGCGCUUGUCUACCUGUGCAGGCUCACUCACCUGCAGCCCUAGACCACGUUUAUGGUCCAAGUCCCUGUCCUUCUUCCCACCUGGAUUCACAUCUGCCCAGUGUAGAGCAGCUCAAGAUGGCCCAGGGGGACCACAUGACUCAAGGGCAGAGGGGACCUCAGGUGAACACACAGGAAGGGCAUUCACAGAGGCACCAGACAGAGGAGGGAGGGUAGAACUGCAGGUGAGAGGCAUCUCACCAAUCACAACAGGGGGCUGGAAAGUGGAGGAGGGAAGGAGACAGAGGACAAGCAUCGCCAAGGGCUCCUGGACCCACAGACCGAGAAGCAGGCCGGCCUGGGGCUCUUGCCAGAGAGAAGAAAACUGGAGAUGGCUCACGGCACAGAAGGGCAGCCAGGCCCCAGCUAGGACCUGCAUUCUCCCUCCUCCGGUUCUCCUCGGCCCAGGACAAGCAGAUCUGAGGGCUCUGGAGGAAUCCCCCUUGUCAUCCCCACGUUCACGAUUAGCACACCCAACAGGUGAGAUGCAAGAAGCCCAAACAGGGCAGGAUUCAGAGUGUCCACCGUCUGUGAACGUGACCUCUCAAAGCCUUGGUUUCCCAGCCUGCAAAGAAGGGAAUAAGAAUUCCUACUAUUCCAAGCUGUUGCAGGCAUUCAGUGAGAUAAUUUCCAUGAAGUAUUCUGCACAGUGCUUAGCAUCUAAGAGUUCCAUAUGAGGACAAGAUUAUCAGCAUUUUCUUAACUUCUCUGGUUUUUCUUCACCCCCAACUCAUCCUUCAGCUCUCUGUGCAAACAUCACUUUUUCCAAGCCACCUCCCCACUCAGAGAUGGGGUGUUAGAGAGGGUUCAGAUGGUCAGACAGACCUCAGUGUUAGUUCCAGCCUGGACACCUCGCCAUGGCUCAGUUUCCUCAUCUGUGACAAGGGAACAAUAAUGACCGUACCUCCCUCCCUCCAAGACUCAUUGUGAGGACUAAGCGAUACAUGUGAAACCAUGACAACAGGAUCUACAUAUAC